rnacentral:misc_RNA from 1 species
GAAUGAAGAACGUAGUGAAAUGCGAUACUUGGUGUGAAUUGCAGAAUCCCGUGAACCAUCGAGUCUUUGAACGCAAGUUGCGCCCGAAGCCAUUAGGCCGAGGGCACGCCUGCCUGGGUGUCACACACCGUUACCCUCGCGCCAACGUCCAUCGUUAGCCGCGGCGCGGGGCGUGCGCUGACCUCCCGCGAGCGGGGUCUCGUGGUUGGUUGAAAAUCGAGUUCGCGGUCGAGGGUGCCGUGAUGAAAUGGUGGAGGGGCGACGCCCGAGGCCAAUCACGCGCGACUCUGUCCGGCUCGGACUCCUGGACCCCUUCGGCGUCUCCGGACGCUCUUUGGCGAGACCUCAGGUCAGGCGGGGCUACCCGCUGAGUUUAAGCAUAUCAAUAAGCGGAGGA